UGGGGAAUAUUGCACAAUGGGCGCAAGCCUGAUGCAGCCAUGCCGCGUGUAUGAAGAAGGCCUUCGGGUUGUAAAGUACUUUCAGCGAGGAGGAAGGCGUUGUGGUUAAUAACCGCAACGAUUGACGUUACUCGCAGAAGAAGCACCGGCUAACUCCGUGCCAGCAGCCGCGGUAAUACGGAGGGUGCAAGCGUUAAUCGGAAUUACUGGGCGUAAAGCGCACGCAGUCGGUCUGUCAAGUCGGAUGUGAAAUCCCCGGGCUCAACCUGGGGACUGCAUCCGAAACUGGCAGGCUAGAGUCUUGUAGAGGGGGGUAGAAUUCCAGGUGUAGCGGUGAAAUGCGUAGAGAUCUGGAGGAAUACCGGUGGCGAAGGCGG
rnacentral:rRNA from 1 species